ACCCUGAUGACCCUUUAUCUCAGGCUUCCAGCUUCCAGAAUGGUGAGAGAAUAUUUCUGUUGUUUAAGCCACACAGUCUGUGUUACUUCGUUAUGGCAGCCGGAGUUGACUAAGACACUGUCUGAAAGAAGUCAGCGUUUGACUGCCGGAAGAAAGAGGAAGAGAAUGGCGCAGGCAAGCGAAACUCCCGGGAGCUGCUGGCCCUCAUCCCUGGAAGAUCUUUCUCUCCCUUCCUCAGCAAGCUGUCGUACCUGUGUUCCCGUGAUGACCUCUCCCCUCUGGGCCUCUCACCCCUACAGCCCCUGCUUCCCACAUUUCGCUCCUGCCCUCGGCCAACUUUCCAAUCUGACUCAAGUCUGCUGUGGGGUCUGCUGGUCCCUCCUGGCGGUGGACCAACCACACAGCGCUGAAGUUGUCUGCACAGCCAACUGGAAGGAACCUUCCUCUCUGUGGGGAGGAGCCGGUCCGCUGCCGUGUCCUCAGCACCAGGCAUCCUUACUACAGCGUGGUUUGGACUGGUCUGAGCUGGUUCAAGCCAGUGGGCAGCUGCUCAUUCUCCUGAAAAACAACUUUGGGGAACUAUUGGACGCUGAUGGACCCGUGAAGCAGCUCUUUAAGCUGCUAAGCAACAAGC
rnacentral:lncRNA from 1 species